AAACAUGUCUUCUUGGAUUGAUAUGAAGUCGUGCCUGCCCAUUGAGUAUUUUAACGGCCGCGGUAUAUCUGACCGUGCAAAGGUAGCAUAAUCAUUAGUCUUUUAAUUGGAGGCUGGAAUGAAUGGUUUGACGAAACAAUAACUGUCUCAAUUUAAUUAUAUUGAAUUUUAUUUUUAAGUUAAAAAGCUUAAAUAAUAAUAGGGGACGAGAAGACCCUAUAGAUCUUGAAAUAAUAUUUUAAUAAUUUUUGAUUAGUUGUUAAAGAUGAUUUUUGGAUUAUUAUUUUUGGUUGGGGUGACGAGGGAAUAUAAAAACUUCUUUAAUUUUAACUAUGAUAUUUGGUUAGAUGAUCCUAUAAUAUGGAAUUAAGAUAAAGAUACCUUAGGGAUAACAGCGUAAUUUUAUUGGAGAGUUCAUAUUGAUAAUAAAGAUUGCGACCUCGAUGUUGGAUUAAGAAUAUAAUUAGGUGCAGGAGUUUAAUUUAUUGGUCUGUUCGACCAUUGAAAUCUUACAUGAU
rnacentral:rRNA from 1 species